AAACUGAAGAGUUUGAUCAUGGCUCAGAUUGAACGCUGGCGGCAGGCCUAACACAUGCAAGUCGAGCGGCAGCACGGAAAGCUUGCUUUC
rnacentral:rRNA from 1 species